UAAAUCCCUGCGGUUGAUCACUGACGCUUCAGUAAGUUCUCCAAUUUCAAGGGAGAAGUCUCAAGGUUUGGACCCCAAUAUGCGAGACAAAGUUAUCUAUUCAUCUCCAAAUUUUGAUCCCAAAGUUUUCUUUUUGUGGGUCCACAAAGACACGAGCGCUGCUGACUUAGAGGCUGGUGCUCUCACCUUGAAAACUGAUCUCAAAGGGAGAACACAGCAGAAAAAACAGUUAGUCAAGGAGAACUUCGAUUGUUUUGUCUCGUGCAAAACUACAAUAGAUGACAUUGAGUCGAAAUUGAGAUAGAUAGAGGAAGAUCCUGAAGGUGCAGGUACUGCUCACUUGUAUUCAGUGACACUAAAAAUUAGUGGUGUGGCAAAUCGUGCAUUUGAGCCUCUAUUUGAGAGGCCCAAGCUGAAAAGAUCACAUCUGUUCAGGGAAUGCUUCAAAGAUUCUGAACACUAUUUAACCUACCAAGUGCAAUCCGUGGGAACAUUAGAAAAGGAGAAUAUGAUCUUGCUGUCAGAGAGUACCAAAAAGCAAAGUCAAUUGUUCUUCCUUCUCA